UACGAAGGGGGCUAGCGUUGCUCGGAAUUACUGGGCGUAAAGCGCACGUAGGCGGAUCGCUAAGUCAGGGGUGAAAUCCUGGAGCCUCAACUCCAGAACUGCCUUUGAUACUGGGCAAUCUCGAGUCCGGGAGAGGUGAGUGGAACUGCGAGUGUAGAGGUGAAAUUCGUAGAUAUCGCAAGAACACCAGUGGCGAAGGCGGCUGACUGGUCCGGUUCUGACGCUGAGGCGCGAAAGCGUGGGGAGCAAACAGG
rnacentral:rRNA from 1 species